rnacentral:rRNA from 1 species
UACGUAGGGUGCGAGCGUUAAUCGGAAUUACUGGGCGUAAAGCGUGCGCAGGCGGUUUGUAAGCCAGAUGUGAAAUCCCCGGGCUUAACCUGGGAAUGGCAUUUGGGACUGCAAGGCUUGAGUGCGGCAGAGGAGACUGGAAUUCCUGGUGUAGCAGUGAAAUGCGCAGAUAUCAGGAGGAACACCAAUUGCGAAGCAGCUCGCUGGACGUUAGCUGACGCUGAGACGCGAAGCGUGGGAGCAAC